UACGUAGGGACCGAGCGUUGUCCGGAUUCAUUGGGCGUAAAGAGCUCGUAGGCGGCUGUUCAAGUCGAACGUGAAAACUCGGGGCUCAACUCCGAGCCUGCGUUCGAUACUGGAUGGCUUGGAUUUGGGAGAGGGAUGCGGAAUUCCAGGUGUAGCGGUGAAAUGCGUAGAUAUCUGGAGGAACACCGGUGGCGAAGGCGGCAUCCUGGACCAAUAUUGACGCUGAGGAGCGAAAGCCAGGGGAGCAAACGGG
rnacentral:rRNA from 1 species